UGGGGAAUUUUGGACAAUGGGCGAAAGCCUGAUCCAGCAAUGCCGCGUGUGUGAAGAAGGCCUUCGGGUUGUAAAGCACUUUUGUCCGGAAAGAAAUCCUUGGCUCUAAUACAGUCGGGGGAUGACGGUACCGGAAGAAUAAGCACCGGCUAACUACGUGCCAGCAGCCGCGGUAAUACGUAGGGUGCAAGCGUUAAUCGGAAUUACUGGGCGUAAAGCGUGCGCAGGCGGUUUGCUGAGACCGAUGUGAAAUCCCCGGGCUCAACCUGGGAACUGCAUUGGUGACUGGCAGGCUAGAGUAUGGCAGAGGGGGGUAGAAUUCCACGUGUAGCAGUGAAAUGCGUAGAGAUGUGGAGGAAUACCGAUGGCGAAGGCAGCCCCCUGGGCCAAUACUGACGCUCAUGCACGAAAGCGUGGGGAGCAAACAGGAUUAGAUACCCUGGUAGUCCACGCCCUAAAACGAUGUCAACUAGUUGUUGGGGAUUCAUUUCCUUAGUAACGUAGCUAACGCGUGAAGUUGACCGCCUGGGGAGUACGGUCGCAAGAUUAAAACUCAAAUGAAUUGACGGGGUCAUAGCUGUUUCC
rnacentral:rRNA from 1 species